UACAGAGGGUGCGAGCGUUAAUCGGAAUUACUGGGCGUAAAGCGCGCGUAGGCGGCUUUGCAAGUCGGGUGUGAAAUCCCCAGGCUUAACCUGGGAACUGCAUUCGAGACUGCAUUGCUAGAGUAUGGGAGAGGGAAGUGGAAUUUCAGGUGUGAGCGGUGAAAUGCGUUGAGAUCGGAAGGAACGCCCGUGGCGAAAGCGAGGUCCUGGACGCUUACUGACGCUGAGACGCGAAAGCCAGGGGAGACGAACGGG
rnacentral:rRNA from 1 species